UCUUUCCUUGGCUGAUUUUAUUGUGACAUUUACUUUGUGGACUGCCAUUCAAUUUGACAACAGAUUUGUUUUUAAUGUGCACUUUCUGGAAACAAGAUAUUGUUCCUCAAAGAAAUGAAAAAAAUGUUGGGAAUACAUAAGACAUCAUAACAGACACCAGCCUGAGUCGAAGCUGUUAAAGAGGCCAAGAAUUCCCAAGCUUUCCCAGGCAAACGGGGAAGAACACUGGGAUGCCUUUUCCUCCUCCUCUGUCCAUCUGCAGGCCAAGUGUGCAUCAGUCACAGGCAAACUCUGAAUUGAGCUUUGUGCAAGUCUCUGGAAAGAGACCCAAGAUCGUGUGAUGAGCAAAAGUGACAGUGCUGGAGGCAGCGACAUCUGCAGAGCCAGCCCCAUCCCUAUCUGCAGCAGAAUAUGUAUGGGGAUCCUUUAUGUGAACAAUCCACCCAGGGUAGAAUGGGGCUUUUGACAUCAGCUGAGACCCAGGCGGCCUUACAAUGAGAGGGCUGUUGGUCAAAGGAAGGACUGUUUAAUGAACUGAGAAUCUGAGGCCAGCUCUGGCCAUCUGCACUUGGAAUCAUUAGAGCAACUCUACUGUAACUGGCAACCUUGAAUAAUGCAGCAAAUUCAUAUUCCAAAAUUGUGAACUUUAAAAUUUUGUGUUUGUGUCUAUGAUGAAAAGCAUUA
rnacentral:lncRNA from 10 species